rnacentral:rRNA from 1 species
GAUGAACGCUGGCGGCGGGCCUAAUACAUGCCAGUCGAGCGAACAGACGAGGAGGUUGGUCCUCUGACUGUAGCGGCGGACGGGGGAGUAACAUGUGUGUAACCUACCUAGAAGACGGGGAUAACUUCGUGAAACCGGAGCUAAUACCGGCUUAUAGAUGCAAGCGCAUGGUGGGAGAGUGUAGGGCGUUUUUGCAUCCACUGAUAGAUGGAGCCGCGCGGCAUUAGCUGGUUGGUAAGGUAACGGCUUACCAAGGCAACGAUGCGUAGGCGACCUGAGAGGAUGAUCGGCCACACUGGAACUGAGACACGGUCCAGACUCCUACGGGAGGCAGCAGUAGGGAAUCUUCCGCAAUGGGCGAAAGCCUGACGGAGCAACGCCGCGUGAAUGAUGAAGGUCUUCGGAUCGUAAAACUCUGUUAUCAGGGAAGAACAAAUGUGUAAGUAACUCUGCACGUAUUGACGGUACCUACUGAGAAAGCAACGGCUAACUACGUG